AUGCACUCCGGUGCCUCCGCGACGUCCGCACCUCACCUGACGGCUGCUUGCUCCGUUUUGCUAGCC
rnacentral:sRNA from 1 species